GGCCGCUCACGGCCUGCCUCCCUUACAAGGAGGGGGUCGCAGGUUCGAACCCUGCUGCGCCCACGA
rnacentral:tRNA from 1 species